rnacentral:lncRNA from 1 species
CACUAUAACCAAGGAUACAUCCAUAAUAAGCUCAAAUGCAUGAGCAUACUAAACUUGCAGAAAUAAGUAUUCAGAAAUCAUUGAUGGUUUAUGCUCUAGGUUUAGAUAUGGUCUCUUUUUUCUACCGUUUUUUCUUCAAUUCAAUACAUUAUAGCUGAAUUAACUUAGGACGGUCAAUGUUCAUCGACGCCUGAAAGGAAAUGUGGCAAAGAGCUAAUAAUGGAGAAAGGAAAGCCUGGCAAACAUAUAUUGAGGUGCUACCUCAUCCUCAUGCAUAGACUUAAAUAUCCCAACCCUUUUUUUAUAAGGGCAAUUCAUUGAAACAUUUGAAUCUAUUCCACCCCUUUAGUGCUUGGCCCCAGAACAUUGACUGUCCAAAUAUUAUAUCAUAUUCAUCAAUACAAUACAACCCAACACCCGGUACUUUACAGGUUGGUUAUACAAAAAUGGCAGCUCGGUGCACUAAAUCUCCUGCUAAGCGCAGGAUACAGGGAAGGGUCUAUUGUACUCAGCCUCAGUGUACAUUUCUACAAGGGCUCGUGACCUCCGAUACCUUACCAAUUACUCAGAGAUUCCCCUUCUCAUGUGAUAUUAUGUAACGAUGAAAAAUGAUACAAUCUAAUCCAAACAUUAUAUAAUACAGUACAGUACAAUAUGUAACAAUCAUUGAAACAAAGGGAAGAAUGUUACCUUUUCUCAACAGUGAGGAAACUGGAGCCGGUUAAUCAAUAUGAGAAAAAUGGACGAGACGGGAGAGUUUACUUGGGCCGGGUCGGAGUGUUUUUAGUAUCGGGACGGGUAUUUUGGGAGAAUUGGGCAGGGAUAUUAUUAAGCUGAGAUAGCCCAAUAGAGGGGGAGAUUUUGUGGGGUUAAAAUUGGCUAGAAUUGAGAUUUAUUAUAUUAUAGCCCAAACAUUUCAAUUGAAGUAAUAUUCUAUUAAAAUAUAGCCAAAACAUUUCAAUUGAGGUAAAAUUGCUAACCAUUUCAAUUGAGAUAUGAGACAAAUUUAUUAUUUUAUUUAAUCAACUAAACUUCUUGUUGACAAACUGAAUUAGUUAUAAUAAUUAAGUGGUAAAUGACUUCAUUUGAUUUUAUUAACUAAACCCUAUUUUCAUUUUGUUUGGCUUAUGUCGACUUGGAACACUAUUUUAGUAGAUCCUAUAUUUAAUUGAUUAGAGACAAAUUGUUAAAAGAUGAUUUGCGGUUGGAAGAUAAGCAAUUGCAUUAGAAUUAGACCCUCACAUCCUCGCUCAAUGAUGUAGUUGUGAGACUAAUUGGGUAGACGACUUAAAGGAUGAUCAUUAUCAAAUGUACUAUCAAAUCUUUUAGAGAUUUUUUUUUUUUUAUCACUUUAUGUAUCAUUUCCUUAUCAUUGGACGCAAGUAAGAUCAUCCAUGUAUAAAUCUAAGAAACAAAAUUUUACUCCCACUUACCUUCGUUCUAAUAUAUGUGUUGAUCCAUAACGAUCUUGAUAAAGUCGAUUACAAAGAUAACAUUAUGAAAUUUUAAGUAACAUUGACAUGAGGCUUGUUUUAGAAAGCCAAUGAUUUUCAAUCAUCACAUAAUCAUGAUUCAUUAACUCUUGACUGCAUUCCUCUUCCCAAUUUUAUUUAAUUUUGCUCUAAAUCUCUUCGUCUUCACAUCAAUUCGAUCUUUAUAUAUAUAUAUAUAUAGUUGUUACCAUUUAAUUCACAAUUUAAGGUAAACAAUGUGUAGAAUUGAAUCUACCAACAAACUACUAUGCGCUAAAAUUUUCAAUUUGAUUAGAUUCAGCCUUUUUUAUAAUAGAAUUUAAUUUACUAGCAUAAUAUUCUAUUUCCAUCUUAACUAUUAGAUUCUAAUUUAUAUUUCUUGUGGGUGAUCGACUACAAAAUAGAAUUCAAUAUCUUGUCCUAAAUUACUAUGCAACUCAAUAAUAGGAGUCCUAGAGUUGUUAUAUCUUGCUUAAUUAAACACAAUUUCAAUAUUUAAAACUUCUUUAUGUGAUCUUUGCCUUUAAAACUUUUAUUCAAUUACAAGUGUUGUGGCUAUUCUCCGAUUAAAUAAAAUUAUAAAUUAAUUAGACACGAAUUUUUAUUUAAUGUCUAUAAUUUUCUUAUGCGAUUCUGAGUAUAACGUAUAAUUCUGCUUAUUCACAAUUAU